rnacentral:rRNA from 1 species
AGAGUUUGAUCAUGGCUCAGGAUGAACGCUAGCUACAGGCUUAACACAUGCAAGUCGAGGGGCAGCAUGUUGGUUGCUUGCAACCAACGAUGGCGACCGGCGCACGGGUGAGUAACGCGUAUCCAACCUACCCUUGUCCAUCGGAUAACCCGUCGAAAGGCGGCCUAACACGAUAUGCGGUUCACGGCAGGCAUCUAAGGUGAACGAAAUGUGAAGGAGAAGGAUGGGGAUGCGUCUGAUUAGCUUGUUGGCGGGGUAACGGCCACAGGCUACGAUCAGUAGGGGUUCUGAGAGGAAGGUCCCCCANAUUGGAACUGAGACACGGUCCAAACUCCGUACGGGAGGCA